AAGAGUUUGAUUCUUGCUCAAAGGUUAAUUAAUUAAAUGUUUUUAUAUGUUUAUUAAUAUAAAAUUUAUUUUUAGGCAGUAAUUAAAAUUAAAAUUUAUUUAAAAAUUUUAUUUAGUAAUUUAAUUUAAAUUGAUUAAUAUUGUGCCAGCAUUCGCGGUUAAACAAUAAAUUUAAGUUAAUAUUUAUAGGUAAUAUAAUUUAAUUUUAUUUUUAGAAUUACAAAUAUUAAUAUUUAAGUGGAAUUUAUAUUAAUUUAAAUUUUUAUUUUAUAAAUUUGUGAAAUCUUUAGCUUAAACUAGGAUUAGAUACCCUAUUAUUUUAGAUUUAAAUAUAAAUCCUGAAUAUUAAUAGUUAUGUUCUUUAAAACUCAAAGAAUUUGGCGGUGAUUUAUUUCUUUUUAGAGGAACCUGUACUUUAAUUGAUAAACCACGAUAAUUUAUACCUUUAUUUCAAUUUGUAUAUCUCUAUGGAAUUAGAAUAUUUUAAUAGAAUAUUUUCUUUAACUUUAAAAGUUUAAUAUUAGGUCAAGGUGCAGUUUUGUAAAGGAUAGAUAUGGGUUACUUUAUUAAAUAAAAUUUUGGAUUAAAUUAAAAUUAAAGUUUAAGUAAAAAGGAUUUAAUAGUAAUUUUAAUUUAUUAAUUAAAUUGAAUUUUAGCUCUAUAUUGUGUACAUAUCGCCCGUCACUCCUAAUUUAUAUUAGGAUAAGUCGUAACAUAGUAGUUGUACCGGAAGGUGUAUCUAGAAUUAU
rnacentral:ncRNA from 1 species